rnacentral:rRNA from 1 species
GAUGAACGCUGACAGAAUGCUUAACACAUGCAAGUCCACUUGAACUUCGGUUUGGGUGGCGGACGGGUGAGUAACACGUAAAGAACUUGCCUCACAGCUAGGGACAACAUUUGGAAACGAAUGCUAAUACCUGAUAUUAUGAUUAUAUGGCAUCGUAUAAUUAUGAAAGCUAUAUGCGCUGUGAGAGAGCUUUGCGUCCCAUUAGCUAGUUGGAGAGGUAACAGCUCACCAAGGCGAUGAUGGGUAGCCGGCCUGAGAGGGUGAUCGGCCACAAGGGGACGGAGACACGGCCCUUACUCCUACGGGAGGCAGCAGUGGGGAAUAUUGGACAAUGGACCGAGAGUCUGAUCCAGCAAUUCUGUGUGCACGAUGAAGUUUUUCGGAAUGUAAAGUGCUUUCAGUUGGGAAGAAAAAAAUGACGGUACCAACAGAAGAAGUGACGGCUAAAUACGUG